rnacentral:rRNA from 1 species
GACGAACGCUGGCGGCGUGCUUAACACAUGCAAGUCGAACGGAAAGGCCCUGCUUUUGUGGGGUGCUCGAGUGGCGAACGGGUGAGUAACACGUGAGUAACCUGCCCUUGACUUUGGGAUAACUUCAGGAAACUGGGGCUAAUACCGGAUAGGAGCUCCUACUGCAUGGUGGGGGUUGGAAAGUUUCGGCGGUUGGGGAUGGACUCGCGGCUUAUCAGCUUGUUGGUGGGGUAGUGGCUUACCAAGGCUUUGACGGGUAGCCGGCCUGAGAGGGAGACCGGCCACAUUGGGACUGAGAUACGGCCCAGACUCCUACGGGAGGCAGCAGUGGGGAAUAUUGCACAAUGGGCGGAAGCCUGAUGCAGCAACGCCGCGUGCGGGAUGACGGCCUUCGGGUUGUAAACCGCUUUCGCCUGUGACGAAGCGUGAGUGACGGUAAUGGGUAAAGAAGCACCGGCUAACUACGUG